rnacentral:lncRNA from 1 species
UCCUUCUUUCCUUCCUCUCUCUCUUCCUUGGUAUCAUCAUGCCUGCACAUGUGAGGAACAUGAUUUACCUCGAAGGCUUUCAGUUCCUCCUAGCAUGACUGAGAUCUGACCAGCCGACUCACGAGUUGCUUCUUGUGCCACCACUGCAGUGCUGGGGCCUCUUCAUCGCUCCAAACUACAGCACUGUCAUGGCAGCUGCCUCUACUUCCAGCCCUGUGAUUUCACAGCCCCAGUUCACAGCCAUGAACGAACAACAGUGCUUCUACAACGAGUCUAUCGCCUUCUUCUAUAACCGGAGUGGAAAGUAUCUAGCCACAGAAUGGAACACUGUGAGCAAGCUGGUGAUGGGAC